UACGUAUUGUCCGAGCGUUGUCCGGAAUUACUGGGCGUAAAGAGCUCGUAGGUGGUUUGUCGCGUUGUCCGUGAAAACUCACAGCUCAACUGUGGGCGUGCGGGCGAUACGGGCAGACUGGAGUACUGCAGGGGAGACUGGAAUUCCUGGUGUAGCGGUGGAAUGCGCAGAUAUCAGGAGGAACACCGGUGGCGAAGGCGGGUCUCUGGGCAGUAACUGACGCUGAGGAGCGAAAGCGUGGGGAGCGAACAGG
rnacentral:rRNA from 1 species